rnacentral:rRNA from 1 species
CCUACGGGUGGCAGCAGUGAGGAAUAUUGGUCAAUGGCCGGAAGGCUGAACCAGCCAUGCCGCGUGAAGGUCAGUGCCCUAUGGGCGUUAAACUUCUUUUGUGCGGGAGCAAUAAUGGUCACGUGUGGCCAGACGAGAGUACCGUACGAAUAAGCAUCGGCUAACUCCGUGCCAGCAGCCGCGGUAAUACGGGGGAUGCAAGCGUUAUCCGGAUUUAUUGGGUUUAAAGGGUGCGUAGGCGGUGAGGUAAGGCAGCGGUGAAAUGCCCCCGCUCAACGGGGUGAAGUGCCAUUGAUACUGGCUGGCUGGAAUGCGGAUGCCGUGGGAGGAAUGUGUGGUGUAGCGGUGAAAUGCAUAGAUAUCGCACAGAACACCGAUUGCGAAGGCAUCUCACGAAUCCGCGAUUGACGCUGAUGCACGAAAGCGUGGGUAUCAAACAGGAUUAGAUACCCGUGUAGUC